rnacentral:rRNA from 1 species
UACGUAGGGGGCAAGCGUUGUCCGGAAUCAUUGGGCGUAAAGAGCGUGUAGGCGGUUCGGUAAGUCCGCUGUAAAAAGUCCAGGGCUCAACCCUGGAAAGCCGGUGGAAACUGUCGAACUAGAGUCCGGAAGAGGCGAGUGGAAUUCCUGGUGUAGCGGUGAAAUGCGUAGAUAUCAGGAGGAACACCUGUGGCGAAAGCGGCUCACUGGACCAUAACUGACGCUGAUGCACGAAAGCUAGGGGAGCAAACAGG